CCUACGGGCGGCAGCAGUGGGGAAUAUUGCACAAUGGGGGAAACCCUGAUGCAGUGACGUCGCGUGAGUGAUGAAGUAUUUCGGUAUGUAAAGCUCUAUCAGCAGGGAAGAAAAUGACGGUACCUGACUAAUAAGCCCCGGCUAACUACGUGCCAGCAGCCGCGGUAAUACGUAGGGGGCAGGCGUUAUCCGGAUUUACUGGGUGGAAAGGGAGCGUAGACGGCGGGGCAAGCCAGAUGUGAAAGCCCGGGGCUCAACCCCGGGACUGCAGUUGGAACUGUGCUGCUAGAGUGUCGGAGAGGCAGGCGGAAUUCCUGGUGUAGCGGUGAAAUGCGUAGAUAUUAGGAGGAACACCAGUGGCGAAGGCGGCCUGCUGGACGAUGACUGACGUUGAGGCUCGAAAGCGUGGGGAGCAAACAGGAUUAGAUACCCCUGUAGUC
rnacentral:rRNA from 1 species